GACGAACGCUGGCGGCGUGCCUAAUACAUGCAAGUCGAGCGGACGGAUGGGAGCUUGCUCCCAGACCGUCAGCGGCGGACGGGUGAGUAACACGUGGGCAACCUGCCUGUAAGACUGGGAUAACUCCGGGAAACCGGGGCUAAUACCGGAUAACUCUUUCCCUCACAUGAGGGAAAGCUGAAAGAUGGCAUCUCGCUAUCACUUACAGAUGGGCCCGCGGCGCAUUAGCUAGUUGGUGAGGUAACUGCUCACCAAGGCGACGAUGCGUAGCCGACCUGAGAGGGUGAUCGGCCACACUGGGACUGAGACACGGCCCAGACUCCUACGGGAGGCAGCAGUAGGGAAUCUUCCGCAAUGGACGAAAGUCUGACGGAGCAACGCCGCGUGAGUGAUGAAGGUUUUCGGAUCGUAAAACUCUGUUGUCAGGGAAGAACAAGUACCGGAGUAACUGCCGGUACCUUGACGGUACCUGACCAGAAAGCCACGGCUAACUACGUG
rnacentral:rRNA from 1 species